AUUGAACGCUGGCGGCAUGCCUUACACAUGCAAGUCGAACGGCAGCAUGGAGAGCUUGCUCUCUGAUGGCGAGUGGCGAACGGGUGAGUAAUGCAUCGGAACGUACCGUGUAAUGGGGGAUAACGUAGCGAAAGUUACGCUAAUACCGCAUACGACCUGAGGGUGAAAGCAGGGGAUCGCAAGACCUUGCGUUAUACGAGCGGCCGAUGUCAGAGUAGCUAGUUGGUGAGGUAAAGGCUCACAAAGGAGACGAUCUGUAGCGGGUCUGGGAGGAUGAUCCGCCACACUGGGACUGAGACACGGCCCAGACUCCUACGGGAGGCAGCAGUGGGGAAUUUUGGACAAUGGGGGCAACCCUGAUCCAGCCAUGCCGCGUGAGUGAAGAAGGCCUUCGGGUUGUAAAGCUCUUUCGGCCGGGAAGAAAUCGCACAGGCUAAUACUCUGUGUGGAUGACGGUACCGGCAUAAGAAGCACCGGCUAACUACGUGCCAGCCGCCGCCGUAA
rnacentral:rRNA from 1 species